rnacentral:lncRNA from 1 species
AAUUUACACAUUUAUGUACUCUUUAUACUUUAUUUUUGUAGGAGAAUUUGAUUUAAAAAUGACUUAUUAAUUUAUUUUCUCAAUUUUCAGCUUUUCAGAGCAAGUAAGUUGUUUUCAACGGAAAUACGAUUUUUGGUGGAGUUUUAGUACGAGACCAAUUGGAGAUAAAAGCUAAGACCUUGAAGAUGAUUGUAGAAUUUUUCUAGAAUUUUCG